GAAAACAGGUAGCAGUCUAAGGCUAGCUUGGGCCAGAGUGAAGUUUAUCAGUGAGAACAAGUUUUUAAAAGUUUGAUACAUUUUCCCUACUGACACCAGCCACGAUCAAAUCAUUGCCAGGACAGUGUUUUCAGGUCCUACAGGUGCUUUUGCAGAUGCCCAACAACCACUUUGCUCUGAACAGUCCCUGUGCUCACAGCUGCACAGGCAGAGGCAGUUUCCUGCCUCGAGAGCAGGAUACACAGGACAGUGAGAGAUCACCUGUAACAGGAGGGGGAAAGGACAUUGCAUGAAGGAGACUCUAGUUCACUAAGUGCAGCCUCCAAAGCUCUUUACCUUUGUCAGGAAGUGGCGGCUGUGACCGGCCGCCGUCACAAACCGGAUCUUCGAGAAAUCACAGCAGCUGAAAGCUCCCGUUCCCCAAGCUCUGUGGGAGGAGAGGAAUGAAGCAGAACGGACACAGGCUCCAGAGACCCCAUGUUCAUCUGUCUCCUGACAGACUAGCUCUACUGUGUCCCAAGGACAGAAAGGUAUGGGACAAUCCUGCUGUGAAACUCACAGCACACAAGAAGUUGUACUUAUGGAAAGCCUUAGAUGAAAAUACAGAUUUGAAGCCAUUACCUUUGUCUCAAACACAGGACCACCC